AACGCGGCGGCGUGAUAGACAUGCAGUGGACGGGAUUACUUUUGGUAGCAUACCGAAAGUGAUUCAGCUGGCAGGGUGCGUAACACGUGGGCAAUCUACCGAGAAGUGGGGGAUUGCUCGCCGAAAGGCGAAUUAAUACCGCAUGUGAUCAGAGGCGACAUCGCUUCGAAAUCAAAGGUGGCGCAAGCUACCGCUUUUUGAGGAGCCCGCGGCCUAUCAGCUUGUUGGUGAGGUAAUGGCUCACCAAGGCGUUGACGGGUAGCUGGUCUGAGAGGACGACCAGCCACACUGGAACUGAGACACGGUCCAGACACCUACGGGUGGCAGCAGUCGAGAAUUUUUCUCAAUGGGGGAAACCCUGAAGGAGCGACGCCGCGUGGAGGAUGAAGGUCUUCGGAUUGUAAACUCCUGUCAUUGGGGAACAAUGGUUACGCGUUAACUGCGCGUGACUUGAUAGUACCCGAAGAGGAAGAGACGGCUAACUCUGUGCCAGCAG
rnacentral:rRNA from 1 species